UUGAUACGCCUUUUACGUGUUUGCUUUUGUUCUUGACAGAGGUGCUUGUGCCUCUCGCAUCCUCUCGUGUGCAAUUUUUCAAUUCUGAAAUAGUACAUUUAAUUGAAGGCUAGAAAAGAUUUAGUUCUUAUAUCAGGAGUCACUACAAUCGCCUAUUUAUUGGAACAUUACCCAGUUGUUUCACUUAGGAAUUAUGACUUGAUUUAGAUUUAUUUUCUUCAAACUUGCACCAAUCAAUAUUUCUAGCUCUUCGCAUUGUCUAAUCAACAUUUUCUGCUUUGGUGAAACCUAAGCAGUAAACUCAUGGCUACACUCUCUCUAAUGGUGAAACCACUUCUUAUGUAACCACCACUCUUGUGUGCUGAGCUGAUACUUGACACAUGCAAUAUGAAUCACAGGCUUGCCAUUAUUUCUUUAUUUCAACAUUUGUUAUAGAGGCUUGACAUGGUUUUGCCUAUAUUUUUCGAUGUUGGUACUUCUUAUGUGAAGGUCUUAUUCGUUAUUCUUUUAUUCAAUGACAGUAUUAUCAUGUUUCUGAUUAUGUUGCUUGUGUACCGUGUUUUAUACUCGGUUGCCUGUUGUUGUUAUGCUAUCUCAGAUGCCUGUUAUGCUAUGCUCUGAUAUAUGGUUGCGUGGUUCUUGCUUAUUUUUCCAGCGUGUGUGUAUGAUGUUGUUGGGUUGUUGACAUGGCGCGUGGUCUGGUUUCUGCUCACGGUCGAGGCUGAUGUUGGGUUGCUAGGUGGCUGUGGGCGUGGUCGUGGGCGGUCUGCUGGUCGUCGUGGACGAGCCACUGGCCGUGGAGGUUCUAAUAUAGGGCGUGCCCCUGUUUCUGAUCAUGUCGCUGUCGGUGGGGUUGCUGCUUGCCGGGUGCCUGCCGCUGGGGCUGAGCCUCUUGACAGGCGUAGGGGUGUGAGUCGGCGGGUGCCUACUGCUGGAGCUGAGCCUAUCGCCAGGCGUGGGCGUGGCGCUCGACAGGUGCCUGCCGCUGGGUGUGGCGCCCUACCUCGGCCAAGUGGUAGGGGUGUUCAUGGCCGUGUCCCUGGUCAUGGUGCUGAUUCUAGGCUUGCAGUCGCUGUUGUACAUGUGUCUGUCCAUGGUCGUGCUGCUGAUCCUGGGCACGACACCAUUUCUGUGCAUGUGCUUGUCCCUGCUCGUCCUGCUGGUCCUGGGUACGCCGCCACUCCUAGGCGUGCUCGGCCCCUGGGAUUGCUAAACGUUACAUCCCGCGUCAGCCUGUUGGUUUUCCUCCUCGAAGCCAUACAAGUGAUGGUUGGUUUCCUUUUCUGAGCUUGACCGUGGCUGCGGUAAAUCGCAAAAAAUGGAAAAUGUGCGUUGAAUUUCGGCGCGCUCGAUACGAAGAACAUGUCGUUGAUGGGCCUUUGCUGAAAGAUUGGCAUGUUCUCGGUUUAUGUGAGUUCAGAGGUGACUGGGGUAGACCGCAACAAACGGAAAAAACAAAAAGGGUCAAUUAAAUUGCGGCGUCCUGGAUGUGAAGAGAUUGUUGUCCAAGGGCCUUUGCUGAAGGACUGGCAAGGUUUCUCGGUCAAGUUUGCCGAGUCCCUUAAAGCUUGCUAUGCAGAUAGGUCGUACUACGGCCCUCCGGAUUUCUUGUGUCAGUACUGUGGUGCCUCCUUUUGGUUUGCUGAGUGCUCAAAGUCUAGGUCAUCCUGGACACAACAUAAGAUGGUUUAUAAUCGAUGUUGCAAAGGCGCUAAGGUAUAUAUCCCUCCCUUUAAGGAUCCCCCGGCCUAUCUCCGGGAGCUCCUUCGAUUCGAUGGUACUUCUCGUUCUAAAAAAUUCAUCCGGACUAUACGUGAGUACAACUGUAUGUUUGCUUUCACUUCGAUGGGUGCUACCAUUGAAUGCUCGUUUGGUGGCAGCCGUGGACCUAAGAUUUUCAAGUUCAGUGGUCAAGUGUCUCAUCGUAUUGGUUCGUUGGUGCCUAGCGGUGAUGAUACCCCUAAGUUUGCUGAGUUGUAUUGUAAGUGCAUCUAGUGCCACCCCUAGUUGGUUUUGGA